rnacentral:rRNA from 1 species
CGUAGGGUCCGAGCGUUGUCCGGAAUUAUUGGGCGUAAAGGGCUCGUAGGCGGUCUGUUGCGUCGGGAGUGAAAACUUACAGCUUAACUGUGAGCGUGCUUUCGAUACGGGCAGACUUGAGGCAUUCAGGGGAGAACGGAAUUCCUGGUGUAUCGGUGAAAUGCGCAGAUAUCAGGAGGAACACCGGUGGCGAAGGCGGCAUCCUGGACCGAUACUGACGCUGAGGAGCGAAAGCCAGGGGAGCAAACGGG